CAGAUGAAUUCUUUCGGAGGUUGCUUCUUGUUGGAGUUGGAGGUAGACCGGUGAAAGGAGAUUUUCCAUCUACCCAUUAUUGAUCUUUCUUUGCUCUCUGUUUCAAAUAAAGGUGGUAUUGUCGAGCAGAUAUUUAGUGAUUUUCUUGAAUGCCGCCGUGGUUUGGGGAUAAAUGAGAUACAAAAACAUGGCGAUAUUCGAGAGUGGGACUUAAGGACAGAGGGUUUAUGGUAUUGUUACGUGCUUCAUAAGGUGUACAUACAUUUGCUGGAAAAAAUGAUAGAGAAGGAGAAGGGGGUAAGAAACUGCUGGUACUAGUAGUACUGAACAGUAAACUGUAGUGCGUGCGUUGCGUAUAAAUAAAAUGUAAAAUUGUUGCGGCAUCGGUAUUGGAGGAAGAAUUUUGAGUUGACGAAAACAGAAGUUAAAACUAGGCAGCAACAUGAGUUUUUAAUAUUUUUAUAUGCUGUUCUCAUAUUCACUUUAUUUUUAAAUGAAGAAAAAUCAUGUAAAAAUAUCAAAAAAAUAUAUAUAUAAAUAAUUAUUCUACUAUAUUAUAAACACUAUUCUAACAACUAUCUGAUUAUGUUAGUCCUUUUACGAUUAAAUAAAUG
rnacentral:lncRNA from 1 species